rnacentral:rRNA from 1 species
UACGAAGGGGGCUAGCGUUGCUCGGAAUCACUGGGCGUAAAGCGCACGUAGGCGGAUUGCUAAGUCAGGGGUGAAAUCCUGGAGCUCAACUCCAGAACUGCCCUUGAUACUGGCGGUCUCGAGUCCGGGAGAGGUGAGUGGGAACUGCGAGUGAGAGGUGAGAUUCGUAGAGUAUUCGCAAGAACACCAGUGGCGAAGGCGGCUCACUGGCCCGGGUACUGACGCUGAGGUGCGAAAGCGUGGGGAGCAACAGG